rnacentral:rRNA from 1 species
UACGUAGGGAGCAAGCGUUGUCCGGAAUCAUUGGGCGUAAAGCGCGCGUAGGCGGCCCCGUAAGUCCGCUGUGAAAGUCAAAGGCUCAACCUUUGAAAGCCGGUGGAUACUGUGGGGCUAGAGUCCGGAAGAGGCGAGUGGAAUUCCUGGUGUAGCGGUGGAAUGCGCAGAUAUCAGGAGGAACACCAAUAGCGAAGGCAGCUCGCUGGGACGGGUACUGACGCUAAGGCGCGAAAGCGUGGGGAGCGAACAGG